UACAGAGGGGGCAAGCGUUGUUCGGAAUUACUGGGCGUAAAGGGCGCGUAGGCGGCCCGCUAAGUCGAACGUGAAAUCCCCGAGCUCAACUCGGGAACUGCGUCCGAGACUGGCGGGCUUGAAUCCGGGAGAGGGAUGCGGAAUUCCAGGUGUAGCGGUGAAAUGCGUAGAUAUCUGGAGGAACACCGGUGGCGAAGGCGGCAUCCUGGACCGGUAUUGACGCUGAGGCGCGAAAGCCAGGGGAGCAAACGGG
rnacentral:rRNA from 1 species